CAAAAUAAGAAAGUCCCUGUUGUAUUUUUAUUCCCCAUUAAAUUGCCCAUGCCAUUUUAUUUGCUUUUUAAUCAGUUUUAGCCCAUCACAUAUUCAAUAUGAGGCUUAAAUAUCAGGUAUCUCAGAAUGCUGUCUAAGGGCUGGCAUGGCCACAUCUGUCUUUCUGGCAGCACUUUCCUGAUUCCAGAUUUGGCAGUGAACCCCAACAAUAAGCCAGCUGGACCAAGAAAAGUGUCUCCUUCACACAUCAUCGUCCUCAGCUCCUCAGGCCUUUCCUUGGUUUCUGUGCAGGCCAGUGGGUCCCUUGGCACAUCAAUCAGAAUACCAUUUUGGCAAAUAUAGGCAGGCAGCAGUGUGGGAAGUGCCUCAGGGUGCUUCACUGGUAAGAAGACUGUGGAGACCAGUGAUCUCCAAAGGGAAGAGCAAUAUGGUGGCUUCUAGCGACUGGGAGGAAGUAGGAGAGUGUCUGAGGAAAGGAAGGAAGCCUUUGUUUCCUACAGGUGCAGUUUCAAAGAUAGAUCACUCCCACCAAAGGCUGCAGCCAUCACCUCCUCACAGCCUCAGGACAUGCUGAUUACCUGAAGCUGCCAUUGGACUCCUCCACAAACUGAUUCAAAUUGCUUAGCAGAAAAGUAAGCCUGCCAAGGCAGCAGAUAAUUUCAUGUCAGAUUUGUGAAUUGAAUUAGCUCAUAGGAGAAUCUUUGUGGAGAACUGACACAAAAAUAUGCUGUGCCUGGGAAUGGGGAGAGGAGCAUUGUCAGGUAGCAUGAGGAAAACAGAGUAAUGGAAGAGAUCAGGGGACAGAGUAGGAGGAUAAGGAAGGGGAAAGGAGAAUCAAAGAGGAGUCAUGAGACGCAGUGACAAGCAGCUGUUAGUGUGCUAAUCACUAGGCAGGUCACCACAGAUGAGAAGACCAUCAGGAUCAUCUGAAAUAUGACUUUACUGCCUUUGCUAUUCAGUGUCUCCAAUAUCCCAAGUGCUCCUUCACCUUUACUAAUUUCAGGACUGGUCACACAUCUAUAUUUGUCUUAGACGGGAGAAGUUUUAUGUCUCAGGAUUUGAGCCAGGCACUCUCUCCGGUGAUUUUUGGUGGCAUUAGAACCUUCUCUGUCCAUGUGCACUAAAUUAUAGCUAACCAGUGAGAAUAUUAAUACCCUGUGGCACAGAUCACCACCAACCAUGACUGACUGCUUCAUAAUCUGUUUUUAAUUUCACCACUUCUAGGACGAAAGAAAUUGUGAAGCUUAACUCUGUCAGGGAGCAUUGUAGAGAAUUAACACUCAGGGACAAAAUCUGCUUCCAUUUCCAUUGCCAUUAGAAAUUUUCUCCCCCAUAAGUGUUCUACCUGUUAUUCUAUCAUACAGGUGAAGAAAGGCAUCUCCAGAUAUGACUUAGAGAAAAGCUUCAGGAAAAAUUGCAGUCAGCACCAGCUUUAAGAGAAGGCUAUGGCUGUGGGUUCCAACCAGAGGCUUUUUCUUGGAUAUCCUUGUGAGCAUAAGGUCAUAUUCAGGCAAAGCUCUCUCAUUGGUGUUUCUUACUAGCUGGCUGUAGGUGGCUUCCCAUCAAGCUGGUUUCCUGCAGACAGCCCCUGUUCACCAUACAAUGUGAUACUAAUCCCAGUCCCAGCUACCUUAUUCCCAUGUCAGUGAAGGAAGUAUUACUGAAGGUUCUGCUUUUCAGAACCUUUUCUGAGCUUCUGAGCUGUGUCAUAAGCUCACCAAGACUAUAUGGCAAGCCUUUUGUGCUUGCUGAAAGAUCAGUGUCUGCAGGCUGCAUCUAUAGUAGCAAACCAGUCAGUUCCAGGGUGCGUACUAAAUGCUGCACCUCAAGUGUGUGCUGUACAGCUGCCAGUGGUUGCUGGUUUUGACCCAGACUGGUCAUCAGUCUUCUAAACACAGGCCUUGGGUGUAGGUCAGAAGUUAGUAUGAUUAUGGGCCACUUCCAAUAGGCAGUUUGGAUAAAGUAAUUUAGUUUUGAAGGGUAAGGUAAUUUUAUGUUAUGAACAUGGGUUGUACUGUUCCAGUUGACUUCAAUGCCACAGGCCUGUCCUGGGCUUGAUUAACUUACUAGCAGAAACAUGGAGGAAAAAGCUGAUUGUAUUUUGAGCUUCCUGUGUUAAUAUAGAGUAUUUAGUAUUAGUACUUAUUUGGACAAGUCUAAGUAAAGUUCCUUGUUAAGUGUCUCUUUUUGCAGGUUUUGCUUCAGAAGAGUCACAGCAAGAGUUUAUUAUGUUGCUUCCCCAUGCAUUGUAAGGGACAUUUUUCUAUUGACUUGACAACACAAUUAAGAAAAAAGUUUCAUGCCAGCGGGGCACAAGUAGUGUAUUUAUAUAUAUAUAUAUAUUUUAAGCCAUUCAAAACAGAAGAUGCUAAAGCUCUCCUUUCUAUUUCAUUAGGAGGAAGAAACUUAUUUCAUUGUUUUUAUUCUCUUCAUUGUCUUUAGUGUCAAUUCUGACUUUAAAGUCAAUGUCUUCCUAAGACUUUGCUAAUGACUUUUUCCCUAGGCCAUGCAACCACUUCUUUAGACCGUACUUCUUUUUAAUUGACUUGCUAAGCUUUCUUCCAAAAGCUUCUUUUCUUUUCUUCUUCCUUUUCUUUUGGAAUUCAGAGAAGGCAAUUUGGACUGAUUUCAGUCUCUUAUAGAUUUUGGAAAGAUUCCAGAGGCAAAGAUAGGACUAAAACAAACUGGCAAAAUCGAUUAUUUUAAAGUUUUGGCUUUUAGUUUAGACAAUUUUGACAAUAAUGCUGAAAAGAUGUUGGAAAGUGUCACAGUCCGGUCAGCACUAUAGCACACUUGACACACAGCACUAUAGUGUGUGGUGAAUAAAAUAAUACACCAAGUGACACUGAUAAAGGAGUUCUGAGGAAAAUUAUACCCUCAAGAUGUUUUCAAAUUAUUACAACCCGAUUUCUGCUCCCACUUACAUCGAACUAAGUCUGCAGCAAUUUCACUGACUUAGUGUCAAGACUGGAUUCUUUAUUCCCAUACAAAAUUUUUUUUUCCAUGUAAGUUGAGCCUCAUUAUAGUUAUUUCAGUAAGAAAUAGAGAUAACUCAAGCUUUUACUGAAGGAAGGGACACCAGAAGUCUGAGUGAUCGCUGUGACUGCAUUUUGCCUAAGCAGUGGGUGCAUGGCACAGACUGCAGGCACAUCUGCCCUCCCGUCAGUCAGCAGCAUGAUCCCAGGUAUUGGAGGUCUGGGUGUCCAGGCUACUUCUCCAUGAGAGCUAUAGGGAGGGGAGAAAGUGUACUGAAACAUUUCAACAUCCCCUGAUAAGGAUGUAUUUACUAGUAAAUUUAUCUAUUAGUGCUUUAAAAAAUAUAAAAAUAAUUCAUCAGCUCAGACUAAGUACAUACAUAUUGCAUGAAAAGAAAAGGAUUCAAGUAUGACCCUUAAUCCUGAGGGUUUGGAUGUAGUCCUGAGCUUACCACUUUUUCUGCAACCUAUAUCAUCACAGUUCUCUGCCAGUAUAUUACCUUUCAGCUUCCUGAGCUGAUGCCAUGCAGCUGUGAAUCAGGUGCAAUGUUCUCCCAUCAUGCAGCUAUUCACCAGGACAACAGGUAUGUACAGGCAGUCUCACAUCAGUCCUUGUGGGAGGGAGGCUGAGUUAGUACCCUUCAAAGACAAUGAUGUUCAAAGGCUGUCCUAUUCAGUAGUACUGGGGAUAAAUUGAAAACCAUAAAAUUACAUUUUAACAGAUUUUCUAUAAAGAACAGUGGGGCAGAGGUUCAGUUAUGUGCAUGCUUCCCAAGAGACAUGUAAUUUUUUUUUACCUGUGUCUCUGUUGUGCAUUUCUUCAAGUACCACCUCCCAGUCAAACAAAGAAAACCCUAGGCCUCUUCGGAAUUUUCUGUUCCUUAGUGCAUGAAUACACUGGAAUACAUAGCUGGACAUUUGUAAAGCCAGGAAAACAGGAAUAAUGUGGCUUACCAUAAUCCCAGGUGAAAUGUUGUUGGCUGUCAUGAGAACUGAGUUUUCUCAGGCAAACCAUGAACCAGCACAGUAAAUUGCUGAAUAUUCAUAUCCAGCCAGUUUCAUAGCAGAAAUAUGUCAUUACUUUGUAAUAAAGCUAAUUUGAUCAUACUUGAAUCCUUUUCUUUCCAUGCAAGGCGUACAUAAAAUGCUCGGUCUGAGCUGAUGAGUUAUCUUUUGCAGCAGUAAUAAAUGCAGCAGCUCUUUUAUGUUCUGUGUUUGCCCCCUACAAGGUUCCCUAUCAUUACACACUUUUAUUCUCAAAAGAUGAUACAAAUAUUUGAUUCACACUGUCUGAAGCAGCAAUCCUAAGCCUAGCAUUUUUUGCCAAUAUAGGUUAACCAUGCACUUACAUUACUAAGUGUAUUGUGUUUACAUGGCAGGUUUUGGUAGCAAGGCAGCUACAGGGGUGACUUCUGUGACCUGCUAGAAGCUUCUUCCUUGUCUGUUAGAGCCAAAUCCAGCCAGCUCCAGGACAGACUCACUGCUGGUGAAGGUCAAACCCAUCAGCAACAGCAGUAGCACCUCUGGGAUAACAUAGUUAAGAAGGGGAAAAUCCCCAGUGCAACAGCAACUGCAGCCAGAGAAGAGUAAGCAUAUGUGAGAGAAGCAGCUCUGCAGACCCCAAGAUUUGGUAGCUUGAAGCAGUUACACAGCAGUACCGCAUCACAGCUAACUUUCAAAGUAUCCAAGUUUGUGUGACAAGGAAUAAUCUGAAGUUCUGUGACAGUUCAGCAGGCACUUCAAGAGCAGAGAAACAAGAGGCAGGUGCUAUUCCAAAGAGACCCAUGUUCAGCUCUGUCAUGAUUUUCUUUGCUAUGAAACCCUGGUGAUGGUGAGAGCUAUAGGUGGAGACCAAGACUUCAGAUUCCACAAGCUGAGGAAAUUUAAGCCUAAAUAUCUAGCUUCUGGUAGAUGCUUUUUGGUCUCUCUGCUGGAGUUUACCUGCUAUGGGCCUUAUAUUACAGUAUCCUCUGCCACUCAACUUUACUGCUGAGGUCAUCCAGGAUGCAAAACCAGGAAGAUUUCUCUAAGUUACUCCCUCAUCUUUUCCACUUGGAUGGUCCCAAUAAGUUCCAUAGGUUCCAGUAUGAAUUAUGUCAGCUCACUAGGGAAUAAACGUGCACAGUAGUGUUUUCAUAGCUUGAGUUUGAAAGAUGACUGGACUAGCUUGUGACAUUGGGCUUGGACCUCCUCUGUGGUCUGUGUGAUGCUGAACUAAUGUGCAAUACUUAAGAUGAAUACUAAUGGUGGAGGGGGAUCUUCACAGUGUCACAGAAUGGUUGAGGUUGAAAAGAGGCUCCUUUCCCCUGCUUGAGCAGGGCCACCCAGAGCUAGUUGCCCAGGACCAGAUGGCUUUUGAAUAUCUCCAAUGAUGGGGACUCUGUAACCACUCCGUGCAGCUUGUGUCAGUGCUUAGUCAGCCUCAGUAAAAAAGAUUUUCCUGAUAUUCAGACGUGUCUUCUGUGUUUAAGUCUGUGCCCAUUGCCCCUCUUGAACUACUGUAAUUUGUUGCUAAAAAUGUUUUCUCUUGUAUUUUUAGACAUCAUGCCAAAUAAAAAAAACCCAAACAUUA